UCAACGGGGGAUGCUUAGUACGGCGAGUGAAGCGGCAAAAGCUCAAAUUUGAAAUCUGGUACCUUCGGUGCCCGAGUUGUAAUUUGGAGAGGGCAACUUUGGGGCCGUUCCUUGUCUAUGUUCCUUGGAACAGGACGUCAUAGAGGGUGAGAAUCCCGUGUGGCGAGGAGUGCGGUUCUUUGUAAAGUGCCUUCGAAGAGUCGAGUUGUUUGGGAAUGCAGCUCUAAGUGGGUGGUAAAUUCCAUCUAAAGCUAAAUAUUGGCGAGAGACCGAUAGCGAACAAGUACAGUGAUGGAAAGAUGAAAAGAACUUUGAAAAGAGAGUGAAAAAGUACGUGAAAUUGUUGAAAGGGAAGGGCAUUUGAUCAGACAUGGUGUUUUGUGCCCUCUGCUCCUUGUGGGUAGGGGAAUCUCGCAUUUCACUGGGCCAGCAUCAGUUUUGGUGGCAGGAUAAAUCCAUAGGAAUGUAGCUUGCCUCGGUAAGUAUUAUAGCCUGUGGGAAUACUGCCAGCUGGGACUGAGGACUGCGACGUAAGUCAAGGAUGCUGGCAUAAUGGUUAUAUGCCGCCCGUCUUGACAAACCCGGCACACA
rnacentral:rRNA from 1 species